GUACUUACCUGGCAGGGGCAAUACUAUGAUCAAGAAGGUGGUUUGCCCACAGUGAGGCCCAGACAUUGCGCUCAGGCUGUGCUGACUUUUACAAAGUCCUCAAAUGCAGCAAGCUCGACUGCAUAAUUUCUGACAGUAGGGGACUGUGUUCACGAUCUCCCCUU